UACAGAGGUCCCAAGCGUUGUUCGGAUUCACUGGGCGUAAAGGGUGCGUAGGCGGUCGGGUAAGUCUGAUGUGAGAUCUCAGAGCUCAACUCUGAAACUGCAUUGGAUACUAUUCGGCUUGAGGACUGGAGGGGGGACUGGAAUUCUCGGUGUAGCAGUGAAAUGCGUAGAUAUCGAGAGGAACACCAGUGGCGAAGGCGAGUCCCUGGACAGGUCCUGACGCUGAGGCACGAAAGCUAGGGGAGCAAACCGG
rnacentral:rRNA from 1 species